rnacentral:rRNA from 1 species
CCAGAGAACUUAGCAGAGAUGCUUUGGUGCCUUCGGGAACUCUGAGACAGGUGCUGCAUGGCUGUCGUCAGCUCGUGUUGUGAAAUGUUGGGUUAAGUCCCGCAACGAGCGCAACCCUUAUCCUUUGUUGCCAGCGGUUAGGCCGGGAACUCAAAGGAGACUGCCAGUGAUAAACUGGAGGAAGGUGGGGAUGACGUCAAGUCAUCAUGGCCCUUACGAGUAGGGCUACACACGUGCUACAAUGGCGCAUACAAAGGGAAGCGACCUCGCGAGAGCAAGCGGACCUCAUAAAGUGCGUCGUAGUCCGGAUUGGAGUCUGCAACUCGACUCCAUGAAGUCGGAAUCGCUAGUAAUCGUGGAUCAGAAUGCCACGGUGAAUACGUUCCCGGGCCUUGUACACACCGCCCGUCACACCAUGGGAGUGGGUUGCAAAAGAAGUAGGUAGCUUAACCUUCGGGAGGGCGCUUACCACUUUGUGAUUCAUGACUGGGGUGAAGUCGUAACAAGGUAAGCGUAGUGCU